GAUGAACGCUAGCGACAGGCCUAACACAUGCAAGUCGAGGGGCAGCACAUGAGUAGCAAUACGAUGGUGGCGACCGGCGCACGGGUGAGUAACACGUAUGCAACCUGCCUGUAAGAGGGGAAUAACCCGGAGAAAUUCGGACUAAUACCGCAUAAUAACACGAGACUGCAUGGUUUUGUGGUUAAACAUUUAUGGCUUACAGAUGGGCAUGCGUAUGAUUAGAUAGUUGGUAGGGUAACGGCCUACCAAGUCUAAAAUCAUUAGGGGUUAUGAGAGGAAGGUCCCCCACACUGGUACUGAGACACGGACCAGACUCCUACGGGAGGCAGCAGUGAGGAAUAUUGGUCAAUGGGCGAGAGCCUGAACCAGCCAAGUCGCGUGAAGGAAGAAGGUUCUAUGGAUUGUAAACUUCUUUUGCAGGGGAAUAAAGGACGGUACGUGUACUGUUUUGUAUGUACCUUGCGAAUAAGGAUCGGCUAACUCCGUGCCAGCCGCCGCGGUAAUAC
rnacentral:rRNA from 1 species